CUGGCCUUGACAUGCCACUAACGAAGCAGAGAUGCACGCCUUCAGUUCGGCUGGCUUCCACACAGGUGCUGCAUGGCUGUCGUCAGCUCGUGUCGUGAGAUGUUGGGUUAAGUCCCGCAACGAGCGCAACCCCCAUUGUCAGUUGCCAUCAGUUAGUUGGGCACUCUGACGAAACUGCCGGUGACAAGCCGGAGGAAGGCGGGGAUGACGUCAAGUCCUCACGGCCCUUAUGGGCUGGGCUACACACGUGCUACAAUGGCGGUGACAGCGGGGUGCAAUACCGCGAGGUGGAGCAAAUCCCAAAAAACCGUCUCAGGUCAGAUUGCACUCUGCAACUCGAGUGCAUGAAGGUGGAAUCGCUAGUGAUCGCGGAUCAGGACGCCGCGGUGAAUACGUUCCC
rnacentral:rRNA from 1 species